rnacentral:rRNA from 1 species
UGCGCAGGCGGGCUUGUAAGUCAGUGGUGAAAUACUGCCGCUUAACGGUAGAACUGCCAUUGAUACUGCAAGUCUUGAAUAUGGUUGAGGUAGGCGGAAUGUGUCGUGUAGCGGUGAAAUGCAUAGAUAUGACACAGAACGCCAAUUGCGAAGGCAGCUUACUAAGCCAUUAUUGACGCUGAGGCACGAAAGCGUGGGGAGCGAACAGGAUUAGAUACCCUGGUAGUAC